rnacentral:rRNA from 1 species
AUUGAACGCUGGCGGCAGGCCUAACACAUGCAAGUCGAACGGUAACAGGGAUCAGCUUGCUGAUUCGCUGACGAGUGGCGGACGGGUGAGUAAUGUCUGGGAAACUGCCUGAUGGAGGGGGAUAACUACUGGAAACGGUAGCUAAUACCGCAUAACGUCGCAAGACCAAAGAGGGGGACCUUCGGGCCUCUUGCCAUCGGAUGUGCCCAGAUGGGAUUAGCUAGUAGGUGGGGUAACGGCUCACCUAGGCGACGAUCCCUAGCUGGUCUGAGAGGAUGACCAGCCACACUGGAACUGAGACACGGUCCAGACUCCUACGGGAGGCAGCAGUGGGGAAUAUUGCACAAUGGGCGCAAGCCUGAUGCAGCCAUACCGCGUGUAUGAAGAAGGCCUUCGGGUUGUAAAGUACUUUCAGCGGGGAGGAAGGGAGUAAAGUUAAUACCUUUGCUCAUUGACGUUACCCGCAGAAGAAGCACCGGCUAACUCCGUG